UGUCCACUUGUCCUGUUUAGCUCACAAAGGGGCAGAGCAAGGGGGCUGCGGUUCUGAGCGACAGACGCACAGUGUGGGUCCCGCUGGGCAGCCCCCCACCCGGGUCCAGCCUGGCUCAGCCCAGCCCGGCCGUGUGAUAUGGGGCAGGGUGCGCUGUCCGAACAGGAGAUACCUCUGUGAUGUCUCCUGAUUUCAACAUGAGGCACUUGGGAGUCACAGAACUGUUUCAGUCGGUGAAAUCGGGUCGCCUCCCUCCAGGCCAGCCAUUUGCCCCCUCCCCCAGGCUCUUUUGGCUUCAUGGCAACCGAAUGGGGGUAGAAUGAGCAGAUCAGGGGCCUCCGCAGGCACGGCACCCCCGACCCCUGGGUCAGAGGGACCUAGAGAGUAUCCAGCCCGAUAAAGGAGCCCUGUGCAGAAUCAUCAGUAAUGGUUAAGACUUCCGGCUAAGCAGUGCCCUCCUCCUGAGUGUCUGACGUCAGCUCUCAAGUGCUCCUGCGAAUUGAGAUGAAAAAGAAUGAUCUUGAAGACUCUGGAGGACCCUUAGGCAGUUCAUGAAGCCCGAGGCCUGUUGUUAACACUGUGACCAUCUCCAGUGAACUCCUGGCUGGGCCCUGCUGACACUCUCUGCCUCCUUUUCACUGCUUUGUCCGGGAGCCUCUCCAGUUCUGACUCUGGGCCCUUCACCCCCUUUCUGCCAGCAGAGGUGGUCCCAUCAUCAUCCCAAGGCCCGGCUGGGGCUGGAUGGGCUGGCCUUCCACGGUGGCCCAGACUGCUGCUCCUCGUGAUCUCAGGUGAUUGUCCCCCCAUAAACGUGAUGGAUGGCUCCUUACCAGACUGUAAAUCCCAAAGUAAGCAGUUUGAACUCACCUGCAAAUCAGCUCUUCUCUGUCCUGCCCCCUGA
rnacentral:lncRNA from 1 species